rnacentral:sRNA from 1 species
CUAUUACUAUGAUUAUGACUAUUUGCUUUUGACUUUACCCCUCAGGGUCCAAGUUGUUUGCUUCGCUGGGCAGCCCCAGAGGUCAUUGCACAUGGAAAGCAUACAACAUCCAGUGAUGUCUGGAGCUUUGGGAUACUCAUGUGGGAAGUGAUGAGUUAUGGAGAACGGCCUUACUGGGACAUGAGUGAGCAGGAGGUACUAAAUGCAAUAGAGCAGGAGUUCCGGCUGCCCCCGCCUCCAGGCUGUCCUCCUGGAUUACAUCUACUUAUGUUGGACACUUGGCAGAAGGACCGUGCCCGGCGGCCUCAUUUUGACCAGCUGGUGGCUGCAUUUGACAAGAUGAUCCGCAAGCCAGAUACCCUGCAGGCUGGCAGGGACCCAGGGGAAAGGCCUUCCCAGGCCCUUCUGACCCCUGUGGCCCUGGACUUUCCUUGUCUGGACUCACCCCAGGCCUGGCUUUCAGCCAUUGGACUGG